rnacentral:rRNA from 1 species
ACCGGCGCACGGGUGCGUAACGCGUAUGCAAUCUACCUCGUACAGAGGGAUAGCCCAGAGAAAUUUGGAUUAAUACCUCAUAGUAUUAUCGAAUGGCAUCAUUUGAUUAUUAAAGUUCCAACGGUACAAGAUGAGCAUGUGUCCCAUUAGUUAGUUGGUAAGGUAACGGCUUACCAAGACGAUGAUGGGUAGGGGUCCUGAGAGGGAGAUCCCCCACACUGGUACUGAGACACGGACCAGACUCCUACGGGAGGCAGCAGUGAGGAAUAUUGGACAAUGGGCGCAAGCCUGAUCCAGCCAUGCCGCGUGCAGGAUGAAGCAUCUAUGGUGUGUAAACUGCUUUUAUACAGGAAGAAACCCUACCACGUGUGGUAGAUUGACGGUACUGUAGGAAUAAGGAUCGGCUAACUCCGUGCCAGCAGCCGCGGUAAUACGGAGGAUCCAAGCGUUAUCCGGAAUCAUUGGGUUUAAAGGGUCCGUAGGCGGUUUUGUAAGUCAGUGGUGAAAUCUGGUCGCUUAACGAUCAAACGGCCAUUGAUACUGCAAGACUUGAAUUAUUGGGAAGUAACUAGAAUAUGUAGUGUAGCGGUGAAAUGCUU